UGAUUAAUCUAUGAUGUCGAUAAUUUCUUCUUUUUCGUUUGGAAACCAGACCCGAAUCGGAGAGGAGGCGGUACUUAUCACGCACCACCGAUUUAUGAAAGAAGUUGACCCCUUUCAGUAAAGGAACAAUAUGGGAUGUGAAGCGACGCGGUAAGCAAUAAACAGCCUGUUUUCGACUUUUCAACAUCUCUCAUACCUCAGCCAAGGAUUGUCACCGCUUUGAAUUAUUAUACGACACAUUACAUUGUGCGCAUGAUCAUAUUAGUAUGUAUUUUUUUUUUCAUGUUAAUUGAAAUGCAAAACUGCAAGAUUUGAACUUAUCAACCACGCCCCCUACUACGUGACUAAAUGGAUGCCGGCCAAAAGAAGCCUGGUUAAUUUUAUGAAUAGAUGUGGAUGUUUCGUACAAGCUGUGAAUCUGGUUCAUCUAUACUGGUCAAUCUCUUGUAACAUUCAAACACUACCUAUCAGCAAACACACCUGAAUGACUUGUGGGAUUUCCCCUCUCCAAACAGAACUGAAAAAAACCUAAGUCAUUUGCAGUGCGUCUAUGAUUCAAAUAUAUUUUGAACCGACUCUUCUCACGGCAAGGCAGUGAAAAUUUGGUUUUGAAACAACAAACAUUCGUUUGUUUUCGUUUAUGUGGUUGCCAUCUUUGUUUCAACCGCCUUUUUCGACGCUAAACCUGGGUUAGCCUCAGCGCAAAUAGCAACAGCUGGCUCGGAACAUAAAAUUUCCGCAACCCAGCUAAGGUGUGAGGAGGUCGUGCAUGCCUUAUGACACAAGGGAGACCCUUAGUGUCUCUCCCGACGCCCAACGGCAGGAAAACAGAGCCUUACUCGGUGCAAGCUAGCUCUACCUCGGUGUAGCUAGCCCACCUCAUCAGCCAAGCUGCUGAAAGAUGUACCACACCGGAGGACAAGUAGACAGAUACGAACCCAGGUUCAGCAACCCGCCGAGUUGAGAAGCCGCCACAGCAGGAAAUUCUGAAGAGUCAGAAAGUCAACUCCACUGCGGUUGAAGGAACCAGGACUAAGAGCUAUGCAGCCGACUACGAACCACGAAAUGCUAAUCAGAUCAACUAAUUCGCCAUCUUGGAUUUCCAAAGGUAUUAAUGGCUGAUGUCGGGACAGUUAUAGGGACAGUUAUAGUGACGUCAUGAUGACGACACGUGCAGCGGUUUGAUGUGAAAACAGCUGGGCUAAUGGAGUGAAAAUAACCGACAAACUCGAAAGGAGUUCGAAGAUGCUCUGUAGUAACAUUCUCCUCUGUGUCCGAGCUCAAAUUCAUCACACUAUGAUCGUAGGUGGUUUGGUGCUCAUCAUGGAUCAAACACAGGACAGGAAAGGGACAAGAAUGACCUUUGCAAUUAAGUCGUGCCUCUGGCACCAGGCCCUGUAGAAUUGCAAAACGACUUCUCAAAUCGGCAGGACACCAAACACAGGGUUAUUUGUUUCUUUACAACUUACCGAAA